CCGGGCAGGGAGCGGGCCCGGCUCGGAGCUGUGGGGUCGUCCCCAGGAAGGAGAGCUGUGGCCCUGGGCGGCCGUGAGGACGCUUAUUCCCCGUGGGCUCUUCCCUGAGACCAGAGGUCAAAAGCUCAAAGGACGGAGUAGUUUGUUGGGUGGAGGCCCUCGGCACAACGCCCUAACUCCCACGCUCUUUCCGUGGGUUUGUUGUUGUUGUUUGUUGGGGUUGUGUUUUUGUUUUUUGUUUGUUUUAAAAAAGUAUUUAUACACAUGAGGUGGUUUGUGCUGAGACCUGCACCUAGAGGCGUGGUUGAUGUAAAGAGGUCACCUAGCCUGUGUGAAGCCAUGCUGCACGGAAGCGGCUUCACCGGAAGACAAACAGCUGGGGCAAAGGAGAUUCCAGUCAAGAGGAAGGAUUAUCAUCCUGAACACAGAAGACUAAGUGACCUUCUGAAUGUUCAUUUACUAUGUGCAUUUCCUUUGAGUAAUUUUUACUGUCUAAUGGAGAUUUAUGGAAUUCUAGUUCCAUGUAUUAGCAGAUUUAAAAAUAGAGGAAUUGUAAAAGUGA